rnacentral:lncRNA from 1 species
UUAUUGUCUUAUUCCAAUCGCUAAUGCUGCCUUAUUCUGUGGCAGCCUUCCACAGAAUUACUGUAAUGUCAGUCCUUUCUGAACCAGCAAAAAUGUCUUUCUGUCUUCUGUUGGAGGGCAGGUUGCUCGGCAGCAUGUAGCUACUGAUUUACUAAUGAUUUACGAUGUAAUCUUAGAUGAAAGGAGCAAGUUAUACUUGCAUGGAAUGUGGUGUUUCUAGUAGAGUUCUGUACUUAACAACAUAUACUGUACACAAAAUUAGCCUGGGUAACGGUAUUGUUCUCUUAUACGCUUGGUCGCAUAGACCCUGUAUCCCUGGAAGCAUAGAUGCUAUAUAAGAUGGUGUGUUGCUACAAUAAAGUUGAAGCUGCAUGAACUCACAUUGAGUGUCAAGCUUCCCACGCCGGAGCGGGUAACCCUGUGGGGAAUGUGGGGAGUUUCCCAACAUUUGGCGCCCGAACAGGGACCAAUCCAUAGCAUUUAUCGUGGUUAAAGUAGGGACCCUAACUGGGGCAUGUGGUGACGGACCGCAUUUUCCUCCGUUGCAUUGUUGGCAGCGGAGAAGCCUUUUUGGCUUGCCAGGGGUAGCGGAUCCGGGGGCGGUUAAAGUCGUCGGCCAACGCGGUGCUCUCUUUGGCAGUCGCUGGAUUACGACGCGAGGAUGGAGUGGGAGGUGUCAUUCAGCAGAUUGAGGAAUCUUUUCUUAAGGAAGUUAACAACCCUGCUUUGUUUGCGCAGUUCAAGCAAGUUUUGCAUUAUGUAUAUCAUUGAGGUUUCCACUUGGGCUCUGUAUAUCUCACUGGCCAUGCGGAUGCAGUGUACAAAUGGAAAAAACCCUGCAGACCCUGAGAAGAAUAAAAGCAGGAGAGAGUCUGUGGUGGGUGAGAGAGGAGAAGUGCACCUUGAAGCAGGGGACGCCCUGCUGGCACUACCUAUCGCACCCACUGCUGCCGUGUUUCUUCUCUCUCCUUUCUGGUGGUUUGCCACCUUACAAGGGUCAGUAAGUAAUAAUAGAUUAGCUUAG